rnacentral:rRNA from 1 species
GGGGACCUGCGGAAGGAUCAUUCUUGAAUUUGGGAUGAUCCAUAGGGGAAAGCCAGGGGUUCUUCUUUCAUAUCCAUAACACCUGUGCACUGGUGGAUGCUGGCAUCCACUUUUAAACUAAACAUUAUCGUACCAAAUGUAGUGGUAUUAUAACAUAAUAAAACUUUCAACAAGGGAUCUCCUGGCUCUCGCAUCGAUGAAGAACGCAGCGAAAUGCGAUAAGUAAUGUGAAGUGCAGAAUUCAGUGAAUCAUCGAAUCUUUGAACGCACCUUGCGCUCCUUGGUAUUAAGAGGAGCAUGCCUGUUUGAGUGUCAUGAAACCCUCAAACCCAAGUUUGGGAUUUCGAUCCAUGCCUGAGUAUGGAGGGGGACGUUCCUCGGCGAUGAUCAGACUCAUCCUAAAAGUAUUAGCUUGGAUCUGUGUAUAUGUCUGGUUUGCGGGGGCAUAAUAAGUCAAAGGCAGAGGACAUCUUCGGAUGGCCAGGACCUAGGUAUGGGGUCUGCUCACUCAAUCAGCACUUUAAGUGCAUCGCUGGAUGAUACUCAAUGAGUAACUUGACAUCUGACCUCUAAUCAUGAACGAAUAACCGCUGAACUUAAGCAUAUCAAUAA